rnacentral:rRNA from 1 species
CCUAGUAACGGCGAGUGAAGCGGGAUGAGCUCAAAUUUGAAAGCUGGCAGCAAUGUCCGCGUAGUAAUCUCGAGAGUAGUGUUCCGCGCUGGACCACAUACRAGUUCCUUGCAWUAGGAUGUCAUAGAGGGUGAGAAUCCCGUACUUGAUGUGGACGCCCAGUGCUUUGUGAUACAUCUUCGAAGAGUCGAGUUGUUUGGGAAUGCAGCUCAAAAUGGGUGGUAAAUUCCAUCUAAAGCUAAAUAUUGGGGAGAGACCGAUAGCGAACAAGUACCGUGAGGGAAAGAUGAAAAGCACUUUGGAGAGAGAGUUAGACAGUACGUGAAAUUGUCAGAAGGGAAGCAUUUGAAGUCAGACGUGUACUGCAGUAUUCAGCCUUUGCUUUUGCUUGGUGUAUUUGCCGUUGCACAGGCCAACAUCAGUUUUGAGUGACGGAUAAGGGUAUGGGGAAUGUGGCACCCUCGGGUGUGUUAUAGCCCUAUACUGGAUACGUCGUUUGGGACUGACGAACGCAGCGCGCCGUAAGGCAGACCUUCGGGUACUUUCGCGUCUUAGGU